AAAUAAAAUAUUACUAUAAUGAUAAAUAAAUUUCUUGUAUUUUUUCUCAGUUUGUAAUGAUUUGGCAAGAAGUCAUAUACAAACAUGGCUCCUUUCACAAAAUUCUCCAGAAUUGCAGAUUUUAUGUGUCAAGUAAAAUUAUAUUUUACCUUUCAUACUAGAGCUGUAAAUUUAAUACAGUCAUACACAACAUGAUAUGGUUAAUAGUCCAAAUAUAAAUAAAUUGAAUUACAUGUCUGCAUAUAAAAUUGUACUUGGCCUUGAUACAGAUAAACACAAACAGUGCAGCCCAUGUUUAAAAGCUAAAAUCGAUCUAAUCAGCUAGUUGGGACUGAAUCCAAACCUUCAUUUUGGGCUCCCAAAUUGCUUAUCAGCAAGAUUUUAGGUUUUUUACUAUUUCACAAUUGGCGAAUUUGUGAUAGUAACUCUAUGUGCAGCACCUAGUUGGGUAUAUAUUUCCCUAUCUGAUCUGCACAGUUAGCUCUUCUUUUGUGCACCUAACUAUAUUUCUAAUUUGAACGGGGCAAAAAUAUAUUCUCUAAGGCAUUUUAAUACAACAUGGGAGACUAUCUAUAAAAGGAAAGUAAGGUUUUUUUGAAUUCUCACCAGAAAUUGAGGGAAUGUAAAGUUAACGGAUUGUGUAUGGAGAUGAUAAACACAUAAGUAUUUGCUAAGCACUUUUUAUUGUAAGUAAAGUAAUAUUUCAUAUUAAAUAGAAAUAUAAAAUGACUAUCAUUUCAACCUGCAACAAUAUUGUCUCAUAAAAACAAAGCAAUAUUACUGCGUGUAUGUUGUUUAGAAUUUUCCUGUUAAUAAGGAGUUUAUUUUUGCUAAGGAAUAUGCACACAAAUACAAAAAACUCACCCCAUGAAUACAGAGCAUCGUCCCAGUAAUUAUCAAUAGUAGUAUAUUGAUAAAAAUCCUCACAAUUAGUUUUAAAUCAAUUAAUGGUAUGUUAUUUCAUAUCUUCUAUACUUUAAAAAAAAGCAUACAUGUUUUCAACAAUGAUAAAAUUUGCAUUAUCAUCCAUACUGUUUUACAUAGCAUUUCUGUUGAAAAAAUAUAGUACUAUUUUAAAAUUAGACUCUGAAACAGAAUAAUUUUGAUAGCCUUUUUGUUUAUGUUGUAGGAUCUUUUCCAUUUUGGCUGAACAUUGAUGCACAACUAGUGUUUUGUAUUAACGUGUUGGAAGGAUUUUGUAAUACAUAUAGACGUGCAACUGUGUGAUACCAGAGGUUUGUAGGUAGGAGUUACAGGGAAUAUUGUGAUAGGUUGUUUGUUGCUUUUUGUCUGGAAAGACAGUGCGAAGAAGAUUAUGAGGAGGUUGUGUGAUCAUAAAGAAAUGUGUCCCUAUGAAUAGAGUCUGAGGUUGCGAGUCCUUCUUCUAAGAAACAUGUUAUAUUCCCUUAUCACAAUCUGGCAUGGUUACAGGAAACUAUGCCACCUUUUAAAUUAUGUGAUCUGAUAAAAAUGGAAUCAUGAAUUGGUAGGCCAUAAUCUUACUUGGUCAUAUUCUGUGUCAGCUGGGCCAGGGUGCAAUGUGUGGCAUAUAGACUAACACAAUUUUGACAAGUAUUACGAUAAUAUCAUAUAUAGUGCUGAUUCAAGCCAAUUCUUAAUCUUUUGUAGAGGAAAGUGUUGCAUGCUUCUAUAAAAAUACAAUGAAUGUUAUGGCUCCUCCUCCACAGUAAAAUAUCCAUGAUAUUUAAUUCUGUAUUAAUGUUGGUGUAUUUGUAGAUUUUCAAUUAUACUGAAAUGCUUUUAAUGUAAGCUGCUUUGAGUCUCCUUGUGAAGAGAAAAAGUAGGAUAUAAGUAAACAUAACGGCAUCAUCAACAACAACAAUAAUAAUUCAAAUACAAUUUUCAAAAUGACAGGAAGUUAAUUUUUUAGUUCAGUCCAUGGACUGCAGGUUAUAAACUCCUGAAUACAGAAAAUAUGAUAUGCUACAACUAAAUUGAUGGUUAUACAGUGUGUUUAUUUAAUAUUCAUACAUGCAAGCAAACAAAUUAGAGACUCAAAUAACAAAAGAUCCUUAUUGAAAAGCAUAUGAUGCUGUGAACAAGACCUGCUACUGUAAGUACUAAAGCAAUUAUAGAUGUUCAAAGAAUUGUUAAAAAAGAUAAAGCUAGUGCAAGGUUGAAAUUUGAGAAAUUCCUGUGUUAAGCCUUUUAUGAUCCUAUCAGUACCUCAGUUCCAAGCUUUCUUUCAAAAGUCAACUUGUUAGACCAUUCCCAUCUUUUAGGAGAAUUAAAAACUAAUUGAUAUGACUAGAAAUUGUUUUGAGCAUAAAGAAGCAAGACUAGUACAAUAAUUUUGUAGUAUUAUUAGCAUACCUACCUCAACAAAAGCCCUACAUAAACUCAGUUUGAUGUGUGUAUGAGAAAAUAUGCCUGUCAGUUGCUUGGAUAGAGCAUCUGAUUCUUUGUUAAACUGAUUGUACAUUUAGAACUCUUUGGGAAGGCCUGUUCUGUUCAUUGUGGCUUUCUGGAAGUUAAAUUGGCCAAGUGCCAAUUGUGGAAUUCCUUUUCUCAACUUGUUUGGUCCUUGAUUGUCUAUGGAAAGAUAAUAGCCUUUUCAAAAGCUAUUCAGGAUGGUAUCAUAUGCUAUAACUACUAUAUUUCACUGAAGAAAUUUCAGUGGUUUUUGUUAGAUUUUGAUGCUUUGUAAUUGGCAACAGAACUAAAAUCCAGAAGCCUAAAUACAGUUAGUUCUUAAUGUCAACUGACAUUGGCCCACUGGAUCAAUGGGAACUUGGUAAAUUGCUACUCUACAUAUUUAGUGAGUACACACUGAGACCAGCAGUUGGGUUUAGCUUCAAUUUUGGAAUUGGGGGAGAUAAAAACUUUUAACAGUAAUCAUUAUGAAGAAGAUAAUGAUAAUGAUGAUAGCAACAACAACAACAAUAAUCUUUAUUUGUAUCCCACCUUAUCUCCCUGAUGGGGACUCCAGGUGGUUGACAAUAUAUAACGGCAAUAUUCAAUGCUUUAUAAUACAGCUAGCCGUUUAACAAAAUAUAACAUUAAUUAAACAUGACACAGUAAACCUUAACAUAACCAAUAACAAGACAUAAUGAAAAAUCUAUGUGCUGUGUUACUUUGUUUUUUUAAAAAGAGAGUAUAUUCACCCUGGGUGAUUUUUUUCCAUUUGCAAACUCUCCUUGUGAUUUGAGACAAAUCAUGGUACCAUUCAUUUUUAAUCCAUUGCUGUUCCAAAGGAACUUGAGACUGAUCAUGCAGGCCUUUCCUUUGUAGUCAUAAAGGAUUAUAUGCAUGAGAGAGAGCUGCAGAGUGGGCUCCUCUAAUGGCUUAAUUUUUAAAAGAGUGUUAUAUAAAGGAAAUUCUUUGAAGCAUAGCACUAUCAUUAUUUCCUGGUCCAUAGACUGUUUUACUCUGCAGUUUUUGUAGAUUUGUUUCCCACUGGAAACACAGAAAGUGGCCUGAUUCUACGGAACUCUUCCCCUCUUAUUUACAAAUAGGUUGGAGAAGAGGAUAUUUCUAAACUAUGGCAUUCCUGAUGCAAAUAGAAUAUUUAGCCACAAUUGAUGAAAACCAUCCUGAAAUUCCUCCUGAAACCAUGGUUUCUAAUGAUUAAGGGAAGUAAACAUUAGUUAAAUUUUAUAUUUAAGCCCAAACUUCAAGCUGAUAGUAAUGAUUCUAUUUUGGUUUUAAGGAUUUCCUGUUAGUUUAAUCAAAGGUACAUGAUGGUACAGGAAAGAUUUUUACCCACCUAAAAGCAGGGCUACUUUUUGUUGGUGGGCUUGACAGGAUAUGAAAGGGUUCUCCGGAGACGCCCCCAUUGUCAAGGCAACUCAGCUGAUGCUCCCUGUUUUGGUAUGCUGCAGCAGUUUCAUUGCUUGUCUUUAAAACACGACAGGACUAAAAGCUUUGGCCAGUUUACCCCAGUAAUGAAGGGGUGCAUUUCAUGUUCCUAUGUAGAGAGAGCAGGGGACAAAAUAGCCACAGAGCAAUGGAUAAAGGCUGUUGUCACAGCAAUAUGAAAUCAGAUUAACUGCAUAGGCUUGUGAUGUCAUCAUAUUAACGAUCUGAUUCCUAAAUGUCCUGAUGGAGAAGGAGGCCUUAACACAAAAGGGGUGUGACGUCGCUGAAGCAAACUACAAACAGGCAUCAAACUGAAAAUCACCAAUGUGGAUACCAAGUCCUCCACAAUCUCUGAAUUGGCUAAGGCAAGUCUAGAAUUUGGAGAAUUCAUUUUCAUGAACAACAUGGUGACUGAGGGAUUCUGGGACUUGUAAUUCAAAAGAGACCCAGGCGAUCAAAUAUCAAGUGUCCACAGGAAGAUGACAGAAGAUAAUGAAGGGCCAGAACAAGACAUCCUGUGAGGAGAGGCUUGAAUAACUGAAAGAAGAGGCGAUUAAGAGGCUAUUCGAUCAGCUGGGAAUCAACACAUUUGCUGAUGAAGAGACUGAUUCCAACAGUUAUAUUAUCACAUGUGAGAUAACUUGAUUUCCAGGAGGUCUUCCUUGCCAUAAGAAAUCUAUAUUAACAAAGAACGUGAAUUCUGCAAACAUUGCCAGGAUGAGGAAUUCAUGGAUCAUUUCCAGGCAUGAUUCACCAAAUCAGGUUGCUAAAAUUGCAAGUCAUUAAAGUGAUUAUUGCUUUGGCUGUGGAGAAAAACAGGACCUUGUGACACGUUUUGUUUACUUACUAGUGUGUUGUCACACUAGUAAGCUAUAGGUCUGUCCAUUGAUCAUUCUCAGAACACAUAGUUUAUACAUACCUUAAACUCCCUGAUUUUUCUAAAAUGGAUUUUGUUUAGUGGAGCUGAGAAAUCCUUGUGACUGACAAUUUACAGAACAGAAUCCAUUGCAAGAUUCUGAGUAUCAUAUAAAAUAUUGCUUGCAUGCUUCAAAACACAUGUAUAACAUGUGAAUCAUAAUAAAUAUAUCUAUUCACUGCAAUUAUUUUAUUAGACCAACCAAAAGCAAAAGUGCAGCUAUUUGAAAUGACAGCCAUCUUAAGGUUUUAAAAAAAUGCUGUAUCUGGAUUCCAUAAAGACUGCAUAGGAUAGCACUGGCAUUGCUUGGCUGAGCAGCUCUGCACUUUCAAAAUACAAAGCCAUUAAUCCCUUUCUCUGGAGUGUCUUGUCUUGUCUUGUCUCGUCUUGUUUUGCAGGUUCCUGAGAUGCAACUCUGGGAAUUGCUGAAUCUCAUCAGCAUCAGAAUCAGACUGUCCUUUGGGGUGAGGUAGUAGGUUGUAUAGUUUUAGGGUUCUGCCCUGCCUGUCACAUAACUAUACAAUCUACUGUCUUUCCUGAAGUGGCUGUGAGAGCAACGCAGGACAAAUCUCGCCAUAACCGAAAUAAAACCUACUGACUAUUAUUGAGAAGUAUUGCAUAUGUGUACAUUAAGACAGAAGACAAUUUUCCUGACCUUUUCAAGCUGAAUAAUAAUAAUUUAAUGAUAAUUUUCAAGCUGAAACAUGCCCAUUUUCCUACAAGGAAGCCUCAUAGAUGGUCAUCGAAUUUACUUUUAUGUAGACAUGACUAUGCUAUCAGUCAUAUUGCCCUCCUUGAGAAAAGGCCAUUCAAGGAUGUAGAAAUGCAGAAGAAUUAUGUCCCCUUGCUUUAUGGUACAUAGUAGGUAUAGCUGAUAAUGUACAGGUGCACAAAUUUGAGCUAACUACAACGGGGUUUUUUUUUUUUCUAAUAAGCACUUUUGUUUGUAUAGUUAUUUCACAGGAUGUUGAGAAAGUUCCCAUGUUCUCCCAAGCAGGAGGACUGCCUGGCCUUUAGAAGUCUACAUUAAGGGGCAAAUGUGGCUCUGCUUAGAAGCUGCCCUGAUCAGCAAUUGAUGUACAAAAGACAGUCAGUGUAGCAGAGGUUGCAGUUCUGUAGCAGCACAAGAUAAGGAAGACCUCACUGUGAAAAAGGAGAGGCUGAGUGUUAAUAAAGAUGGGUGCCAAAGAGAACUAGGAGGACUUUUGUAUGGUUUUCAGGUAAUCACACCAGAGAAGUAGAAAGCCUAGCUUAGCUCCUAUGAUGCCAAUGAAACACAGCACAGAUACAGCCUAGUGACAGCACCUACCCCUAUCUGGUAUUGCUGGGCACUUCUCAAACGGUAGACCCCAUGUCAUUCAGUGGAAGUGGCAGAUUGCAUCUUCUGCAUAUUCCUUGUGUAGUGUCAUAUGCAAGACCUCUGAGUUAUGGAUGCAAAAUCAAAUAAAGAGUUGUGUUUAGCUCUGGCAAGGUGAGGUAGUAGGUUGUGUGGUUUCAGGGUAGUCAUUUUGCCCCAAUCAGGAGAUAACUAUACAACCUACUGCCUUCCUUGAGGAGCAGCUUUGCAGCGUGCCCAGAAUUUUGUAAUAAGGUGGUAUGCAUAUAGUGCAAAUCUACAUUGAUUUCAUACCAUUUUAGUGUCUUUUGCUUCUUCCAAAAGAACACUGGGAAUUGUAGGACAGUGACACAUUGUUAGAUAUUGCUUAAACUAUUUUGAGCAACCAUUGCCUGUACCCAGUAGCACUACAGUUUCCUGGGAAGAAAUCACAACUUUUAAACUUUAAAAUAAAUAGGAAUUUAAGAUUUUCAUUUUCAAGAGAGUACACUUGUAUGUGCAUAUUUUCUGCAACAAUUUUCUCUAUAUAUUUCCAAAUAGCAUGGCUUAAACUAAUACUUAUUUUAUUUCUUUAUUUUACCUGUUUUAAAUUAUUUUUAUUUUCAAUUUACAUAUUACAUAUUUUUGAACAAUGAAACAAAUUUAUAUACAUGUAUAUAUACAUUACAAUAUUACCUAACAGCUACACAAUAUUCAUAUUUGAUUAUACUUUCCCCUCCCACCUCUCCCAUUUUGGUGACUAAAACAUAUUUUACAAGACCUUAUAUCAAAAAUACAAUAAAGUGUGUUUUCUGUGGAAAAUUGUCUCAUAAUUUGAAUAUAGUAGUGAAAUUAUUAUGAGAAUAAACAGCAUGGCUUCAUUUUUACAUUAUCUCUGCAUAAAUUACAACACAAUUGGUAAUUAAUAUAAUCUUUAUGGUAUAUAAAUAUUAUUAAUCAAUAGAAGGCUUGUGCUGUAAAAUGUGUUUGGUGUUGGUUUUUUCCUCCAUCACAUAAGUGAGAAAUUUUCCUCUUUGCAUCACUGCCACAAAAGAUCAAAUUUAGCACAAGGUGCAAAAAAAGAAAAAAAUAUCAAGAAACAAAGGAACUGAUGAUAAUAAAUAAUAAUAAAGCUUUAUUUAUAUACCGCUCCAUUUCCUCGAGAGGACUCAGGGCGGUUUCCAACAUGUGUACCAACAACAUUCAGUUGUCAAAAACAUACAACAACUUAAACAUAGUAAACAAACUGGGAGGGAUAGCUAACACUCCAGAAGACAGGAGCAGAAUUCAAAAUGAUCUUGACAGACUAGAGAGAUGGGCCGAAACUAACAAAAUGAAGUUCAACAGGGACAAAUGCAAGAUACUUCACUUCGGCAGAAAAAAUGGAAAUCAAAGAUACAGAAUGGGGGACACCUGGCUUGACAGCAGUGUGUGCUAAAAAGACCUUGGAGUCCUCAUGGACAACAAGUUAAACAUGAGCCAACAAUGUGAUGCGGCAGCUAAAAAAGCCAAUGGGAUUCUGGCCUGCAUAAAUAGGGGAAUAGCGUCUAGAUCCAGGGAAGUCAUUCUACCCCUCUAUUCUGCCUUGGUCAGACCACACCUGGAAUACUGUAUCCAAUUUUGGGCACCGCAGUUGAAGGGAGAUGUUGACAAGCUGGAAAGCGUCCAGAGGAGGGCGACUAAAAUGAUUAAGGGUCUGGAGAACAAGCCCUAUGAGGAGCGGCUUAAAGAGCUGGGCAUGUUUAGCCUGCAGAAGAGAAGGCUGAGAGGAGACAUGAUAGCCAUGUACAAAUACGUGAAGGGAAGUCAUAGGGAGGAGGGAGCAAGUUUAUUUUCUGCUGCCCUGCAGACUAGGACACGGAACAAUGACUUCAAACUACAGGAAAGGAGAUUCCACCUGAACAUCAGGAAGAACUUCCUCACUGUGAGAGCUGUUCGACAGUGGAACUCUCUGCCCCGGACUGUGGUGGAGGCUCCUUCUUUGGAGGCUUUUAAGCAAAGGCUGGAUGGCCAUCUGUUGGGGGUGCUUUGAAUGCGAUUUCCUGCUUCUUAGCGGGGGGGGGGGGGGGGGGGUUGGACUAGAUGGCCUAUGAGGUCUCUUCCAACUCUACUAUUCUAUGAUUCUAUGAGUCUAUGAACAUUGAUGCAUUUAAAAAUCUUGCCACUAUUCUUACUGUUCAUUAUACGUAGAUUAUUAAAUAUGGUUUUCUCUGGGGGAGCAGAUGGUGACUACUGGAUGGCAUAUGUUCUGUAUCAGAAACUAGAGCCGAUGUGGUUUAUCCAAUGCAAUUUUCUGAAUCAGCACCCCAAAUAACCAAAUCAAAUGUAAAAUUGACCAAAAACUUAUUCAUAACCCUUUUGGUACUAAUGUUGGAGUGUGGUCCCUGGUCAAAGUGACCCCUGGUCCAGGUGGUCCCUGGUCAAAAAAAGAUUGGGAACCAUUGAUCUAGUAGAACUCGCUCCUUAUUUCCAGGACCCAGUGGGUACAUUAGAUGGAUGCAAUUCAUGAUCAGGCCAGGCAAAUGCUAAUGGGCCAACAGAGAGGGUGCAAUAAUUAACAAAUCUGAAAUACAUUCAGCUUAAUGGGUUUCACACUACACAGCCUUGAAUGCUGGGAAAUGGAAGUGCCUGCUGGUCCUACCAUCCUGUCAGUCUUUACCAUAUCAUUUCACACUUCAGCCCCCUGCCAGGCAAGCUAAACAUUCUAACAAGCAAGUGCCCAAUGAACAACCCUCACUUCAAUUCCAUUUAUCCCAGUCAUCCAGGAGCCUUUAGUAAAACCAAUGUAGUUUCCCUCUGUACUUCUAAUUCCACAGCAUUCAGCUGAAAUUAUCACAGCUGGAAUUUAAAUUCCUAGAAGCAUUCAAAUAGCAGCAAGUAAAACCAGCAGCAACUGAAAGAAGAAACACAUUAAGGACAUGGCACAUCAGCAGGAGAAUACGUAGCAUUUCAAAGUAUUCCUUUACAGCAGAAAUCUCUUAUUUGCAUUAUGGUGCAUUAUUAAUUGUAAUUGAAAUUAUUAAUCUAUGAGAAAAGCACCUGUAAAAGCUUUUUCACUUUUGCUGACCGAAAGGUCGGUGGUUCGAGUUUGGGGAGCAGGGUGAGCUCCUUCUGUUAGCCCCAGCUAACAGACCUAGUCGUUCGAAAACAUGCAAAUGUGAGUAGAUCAAUAAGUAGCACUCCAGUGGGAAGGUAACAGUGUUCCAUGCAGUCAUGCCUGUCACAUGAUCUUGGAGGUGUCUACAGAUAACGCUGGCUCUUCAGCUUAAAAAUGGAGAUGAGCACCAACCCCCAGAGUUGGACACGACUAGAGUUAAUGUCAGGGGAAAACCUUUAACUCAUAUACCGGAUCAGCAUCGAUAGUAGCUACACUAGCAGCCCCGAGCUGGCAUGGAAAGCUACACCAUCUGCCCACGAAGUGGCCCACUGGCUCUGGAAGCUGUAUGGGCGAGUGACACUGAAGUGGAGACCAGAGAUGAGAGAGGAAGAAUUGCUUCCCCCUCUAAUUUUGGCGGACUAAAUGUAAUCAUUCCAGGCACUGAGGAGACUUCAGUGCAAUUUUGGUGCUUAGGAAGCACUGCUAAAAUAACGAGGGAGACAAGGCUGGUGCCAUCUCCUUCCCCAAGGUUGCUGUAUAACCAACUAUGCCACUUCCUGGGCCCAAAAUCGCUAGAUAAUAUGGAAUUUGGGAACCUGGGUAAAGGUCUCAUAUAAUUGAUUUGGUGCUCCUGUGCAAUAAAUGACAUGCAAGGUAGAAAUGAGGUAUAUUAAUCAAAGUGGCACUGUUCUGGACUCUACUGACUCAAAUACAGGUUGAGCAUCCUUUACCUGAAGUUUCGAAGUCCAAAGCAUUCCAAAUCCUCAAAUUGUUCACAUGGGUGGCUGAAUUAGUGACACUUUUGCUUUGUUUCAUGCACAAAAUUAUUUAAAAUGUGUAUACAAUUAUCUUUGGGCUAUGUGUAUAUGGUGUAUAUGAAAUUGCAAUGAAUUCUAAAAUAAUACUAAUAAUCCCAAACACUUCUGGUCCAAAGCAUUUUGGAUAAGACAUCCUCAACCUGGAGUAGGGGACAGGUCUAUUUCUGGAUGAUUUCUCUUAACCUGUGGUCAUUUUUAUCAGUGCUACCUCUGCAAAAGGUAUCUCCUUUUCUUGUAGCUAACUUUGUUUCUCUUCUGUUGUUAUUUCUCACUGCUUCAUGCAGUUUCACCUCCCAUUGUACAGGUCUUGUUUUUAUUAUCUAUCAUCAUCAUCAUUAUUAUCAAGUACAAGAGGUUUUGGACCUCAAUAUGGAGAUUGGAGUUUUUGGAAAAGGCAUUUGACUGUGUAAUUUUUUUUUGCAAUAUUAAUUACAGAUAGUUCUAGUUUGAGUAGUUUAUGACUUUUGUCAAACACAAUGGCUGUAAUACUAUAUGGUCUUUACACAUACAGUGAAUUCUAGCUCACCACCGCGACAUCUUCAUUUACCAGGUGGCAGCCACUGCAAUUGAUGGGCAUCUUCCCCUGUUUGUCAGAAAGAAGCAUCCCCCCCUAUUCAUCAGUGAUCCCAUUACAACAGACAUAAACAGGGACCCUGUUGCCAUUUCCCCUUGCAUCAGAGAUCACUUGUGUGAGUGGGGUGGGAAUGGCAGUCAGCUCCUUCCUGAGUCAUUACCCUGUCAAUCCAUAGCAGCUGCUUCUCAGUAAGUGUUGAUUAGUGAAUACGUAAGUGACAAGUGCGCAACUCCAGGUUAUGCAUCUGUAAUGGCCAUGCAUAAUUCCAAUCCAGCUUUCUGUAUUCAGAUUUGUUCUCUAUAUUGUCACUGUCCACUUUUAAUCAUAUAACAGUCAUGACCAGUGUGCCAAACAAUGUAUAUUUCUUAGCAAAGCCAUUUAAACUUACAUUUUGCAAUCAGCCAUUUGUUGUGACUCGGCCUCAGAGUGACUCUGAUGAGGAUUUUGGGAUAUAGGUUCAAGGUGAAGGCUUUCCUACAGGAGGAUGCUGAUAUUUCACAUGUGCAAGAAGCAGGAAGAGAGAGCAGCUCCCAGCCUGAUAACACUAAUGAGCAGUUUGGCCUUGACGACGAUACAGCAUCUCUGAACCGGGCCAGCCACUUGAAAAAUAGGGAGGUUCCAGAAGUCUUAGAAUAGCAAAUAAGAGAGAGGUCAAAGGGCAAAGGAAUGCCUUCAUGUUAUGCUAUUAAAACAGUCUACUGAGAGAGGAAUCUUUGUCAAAGCAGUCUCUUUGAAUCAGGAAGCAAGUUCUGCUUUCCUGGGUUGUCUUGUAGCCUUGAUGUAUUCUCACUCAUGGGACUUUGUCAUGUACUGAAAGGAUUUUGCUUCAUGCCAAGUGUUUCUUUGGAUUAUUUCUUACAGCCUUGUUUUGCAACUAUCUUUUAGAACUGAACUUUUGCCUUUUAAGAACUAUCCUUUUCCUUAUUUCCAAUAAACUACAAAAGACUAUAA